GAUGAAGAACGUAGCGAAAUGCGAUAAGUAGUGUGAAUUGCAGAAUUCAGUGAAUCAUCGAAUCUUUGAACGCACAUUGCGCCCUUUGGUAUUCCAAAGGGCAGGCCUGUUCGAGCGUCAUUUGUACCCUCAAGCUUUGCUUGGUGUUGGGCGUCUUGUCUCUAGCUUUGCUGGAGACUCGCCUUAAAGUAAUUGGCAGCCGGCCUACUGGUUUCGGAGCGCAGCACAAGUCGCACUCUCUAUCAGCAAAGGUCUAGCAUCCACUAAGCCUUUUUUUCAACUUUUGACCUCGGAUCAGGUAGGGAUACCCGCUGAACUUAAGCAUAUCAAUAAGCGGAGGA
rnacentral:misc_RNA from 1 species